UGUGGACGAGCUGAGUCUUUGAAUCUUCCUGCAAGUUCAGCCACAGAGCGCCGGGACGGAGCCUCCUCCUGAGGGAAGGACACAGGACGUCAGAAAACAACAACAACAACAACAACAACAUGCAAACUGAUCGUCAGCAGCAGAGAAACAUUAGAAGAAGUUUUACCUCCAUCCUGCUGGUCCUCUGUCAGCCGCCUCCUUUAUGUCGAGUAUGUGUCACAGAGGGAGCGCGGGGAGGCCUGCAGGAAACCAGUUAGAGUGAGAAGGCUGGAAACAAACUACACUGAGAGGAAGUAGGAGCAUCAGUACACAAGGUUGGUUUUCAUGGAAAUAAAACAAAGAUAUCAACCUGAAACCUGCUGGACAGUCAGUGAAGUCAUCGUCAGCGCCAGCACCUUGUCGCUCAGUGGGUGGAGCGGGCGGUGUCCUUGAAACAGCGGCUGUGGGUUCAGUUCCAGCCAGCGUCCUUUUCUGCAGAUGUAGUGAUAAUUCGGGUGAAGAGGAACCUGCAGCCUGUCGUUGCUCUGCAGCGUCUCCGUCUUCUCUGAGGGGAAGUUGAGUCACUCAAGUGGAGAAAAUUUCAACUUUCAUUUCUGCUUUUGUGUUUCUUCACUUCUGCCCCAAACCCAGCCUGACUCUGGUUGCAUAAGGACAAAAUCAGAAAGCAACAAACUCCAGGGCGGAGCACAAACGAACGCACCGCAACAAUAACCACUGAUUUCUCUGUGAGCGCAGAACUUUUGUUUCUGCAGCAGCAUCCGCUCCGUGUUUAAGAUUCUAACAGAUAAACAGAAACAGGUGUUCAUUUCAAAACGUUAAAAUCCUCCUCUUCUCUUAGGUCUAUCUCAGAUCAUCAUCUGACCAAUCAGCAUAGGCGGUUUGUCCUCGGAGCAGAGACACAGGACGUGGUUGGAGGGGAGGAGCCGAGCCAACAAGAAGACAGGAGGAAACCUUAUAAGAUUUCUGCUGACCCCAGCUUUAACUUGGGACUCGACUUGAGCCUUGCUCUCUUCACUCAGGACUCACUGGUCUUGACUUGUGACCUCUUGAGUGAUGUUGUGUUUUCACUUGUGACAUGUAUCUUUAAAAGUGUCACCAUGACCUUUAUUUUGAAGGGCCACACACCUGGUGUUAACUGAAUGUUCAGUUUCAGGUUCUUUGUUUACACUGCUGAAAUAUUUUAACAGUCAUUUUAAGGGAGAAUCAGCAGCUGAGUUUGACCCUCGACAGACCAAAUGUUUCCUCUCCUCAGUCUGCUGUUGUUUCCUGGCGGCUCUGUGCUGCCACCUGGUGGUGAAACAUCUCACACUCUGUGGCAGGUUUCCAGAGCAGCUAACAGGGACCGAUGAGCAGACUGUUCAUAUCCUGAAACAUCUUUAUACACAACAUGGGCUCAAAUUACAGGAGCCAUCCAUGUGUUUGACACUUUACGCACAAGGUCCUAUGUUUCCAACCGAGCGGCACGACUGUUACCGGAUAUAUAUCCUGUUUGAAUGACCUGUUUCCUGUCUGGAUAGUGCCAACACAUCGAGUAUGACUGACUCUGAGCCAAACCCUGCUGACACAGGCUGUGAUCUGCUCCUCCGCUAGAAGAACCAGAGGGAGGUGACAGAACCAGUUUCCAGUGUUCACACACUCCCAGGUGUGGAGCCGUGGACUGUGUCAUUUUUUGCCCAGGGGGUUUCGUGCUCCUGCCCUCCGGAUAGGCUGACCUGUUCCUCCAGACCAUCCAUUCUAACAUCAACCCUUGACAAAGUAUCAACAGACAGCAAUCAGAAUCAGAAAUACUUUAUUGAGAAAUUGUUGUGUUACAGGUGCUCCUUGCAAGAGAGGAAAGAUACAUGAAAAUAUAAGAAAUUUAAACAAUAGUAUUUAUGAAUACUAUACUAUACUAAUAGCAACUGUUUUUUUUUUUUUUUUCAACAUAUGAAAUGGAAAUUGACAACUUUUCAGCUAACUAGCUAGCGUGCUAGCUGUGCUAACUAAUGCUGGCAGCCUGAAACAAACAACUAUGAUUCAUUGUUGGUUAAUUGUGUUAUAAUUUAAACAAUGAACAUGCUGGCCUGUGGUCCCUCUAAUAUGAGCAGUGGUUUAAGUUAUUAUAGUCUAUUAUGAUCAGGGAGUUGAUACGCAGACAUUAGCUAGUGCUAGCAUGGCUAGCUAGUUGAAAUGUUGACUACUCCCAUUACUGUGUAGUGAUUGGUUGAAUUAAAAACUUUUAAAUGUUUGACUGACAGGCGAUUGUGAGCCUCCCAUUGGCCACAUUUAAACAUGAUUGACAGAUACCCCACCGCCUCAAGCUCGCACAUGCGCACGUCUAAAAUGGUGGCUCUCCGGCUCUGCAGGUGGAUGAUAUUGGAAAUAUACAAUACCAACAUUUACUCUGGUGACUGGGCUGCGAACUCAGCUGCAUGAGAGCAAAAUGUACAAUGAAGUCGUCCAGCACCAUUUUAUUCAUGUGAAAGCAGAACUGAUUGAUUCAAGAUCAUGAAUUGACCUAUGGCUAAGCCACGCCCCCUCCACUCACUCAGACAAACUAUCAACAUUCAGUGACUGGCGCUAUGGCAGGUGUCACAGUACACGGCAUUUCACAGGAGGCAACUGAUGA